rnacentral:rRNA from 1 species
GCAGGCCUAACACAUGCAAGUCGAACGGUAACAGGAAGCAGCUUGCUGCUUCGCUGACGAGUGGCGGACGGGUGAGUAAUGUCUGGGAAGCUGCCUGAUGGAGGGGGAUAACUACUGGAAACGGUAGCUAAUACCGCAUAAUGUCGCAAGACCAAAGAGGGGGACCUUCGGGCCUCUUGCCAUCGGAUGUGCCCAGAUGGGAUUAGCUUGUUGGUGGGGUAACGGCUCACCAAGGCGACGAUCCCUAGCUGGUCUGAGAGGAUGACCAGCCACACUGGAACUGAGACACGGUCCAGACUCCUACGGGAGGCAGCAGUGGGGAAUAUUGCACAAUGGGCGCAAGCCUGAUGCAGCCAUGCCGCGUGUAUGAAGAAGGCCUUCGGGUUGUAAAGUACUUUCAGCGGGGAGGAAGGGAGUAAAGUUAAUACCUUUGCUCAUUGACGUUACCCGCAGAAGAAGCACCGGCUAACUCCGUGCCAGCAGCCGCGGUAAUACGGAGGGUGCAAGCGUUAAUCGGAAUUACUGGGCGUAAAGCGCACGCAGGCGGUUUGUUAAGUCAGAUGUGAAAUCCCCGGGCUCAACCUGGGAACUGCAUCUGAUACUGGCAAGCUUGAGUCUCGUAGAGGGGGGUAGAAUUCCAGGUGUAGCGGUGAAAUGCGUAGAGAUCUGGAGGAAUACCGGUGGCGAAGGCGGCCCCCUGGACGAAGACUGACGCUCAGGCGCGAAAGCGUGGGGAGCAAAC